rnacentral:rRNA from 1 species
UACGGGGGGGGCAAGCGUUGUUCGGAAUUACUGGGCGUAAAGGGCUCGUAGGCGGCCAACUAAGUCAGACGUGAAAUCCCUCAGCUUAACUGGGGAACUGCGUCUGAUACUGGAUGGCUUGAGUUCGGGAGAGGGAUGCGGAAUUCCAGGUGUAGCGGUGAAAUGCGUAGAUAUCUGGAGGAACACCGGUGGCGAAGGCGGCAUCCUGGACCAACACUGACGCUGAGUGAGCGAAAGCCAGGGGAGCAAACGGG